GGCUUACCAUGCAAGUCGAGGGGCAGCAUGGUCUUAGCUUGCUAAGGCCGAUGGCGACCGGCGCACGGGUGAGUAACACGUAUCCAACCUGCCGUCUACUCUUGGACAGCCUUCUGAAAGGAAGAUUAAUACAAGAUGGCAUCAUGAGUCCGCAUGUUCACAUGAUUAAAGGUAUUCCGGUAGACGAUGGGGAUGCGUUCCAUUAGAUAGUAGGCGGGGUAACGGCCCACCUAGUCUUCGAUGGAUAGGGGUUCUGAGAGGAAGGUCCCCCACAUUGGAACUGAGACACGGUCCAAACUCCUACGGGAGGCAGCAGUGAGGAAUAUUGGUCAAUGGGCGAGAGCCUGAACCAGCCAAGUAGCGUGAAGGAUGACUGCCCUAUGGGUUGUAAACUUCUUUUAUAAAGGAAUAAAGUCGGGUAUGGAUACCCGUUUGCAUGUACUUUAUGAAUAAGGAUCGGCUAACUCCGUGCCAGCAGCCGCGGUAAUACGGAGGAUCCGAGCGUUAUCCGGAUUUAUUGGGUUUAAAGGGAGCGUAGAUGGAUGUUUAAGUCAGUUGUGAAAGUUUGCGGCUCAACCGUAAAAUUGCAGUUGAUACUGGAUAUCUUGAGUGCAGUUGAGGCAGGCGGAAUUCGUGGUGUAGCGGUGAAAUGCUUAGAUAUCACGAAGAACUCCGAUUGCGAAGGCAGCCUGCUAAGCUGCAACUGACAUUGAGGCUCGAAAGUGUGGGUAUCAAACAGGAUUAGAUACCCCUGGUAGUCCACACGGUAAACGAUGAAUACUCGCUGUUUGCGAUAUACUGCAAGCGGCCAAGCGAAAGCGUUAAGUAUUCCACCUGGGGAGUACGCCGGCAACCGGUGAAAACUCAAAGGAAUUGACGGGGGCCCGCACAAGCGGAGGAACAUGUUGGUUUAAUUCGAUGAUUCCCGUAGGAACCUUACCCGGGCUUUAAAUUGCAGAUGAAAUUACGGUGAAAAGCCGUAAGCCCCCAAGGGCAUCCGUGAAGGUGCCUUGC
rnacentral:rRNA from 1 species